rnacentral:rRNA from 1 species
GGUCAAGCGAACAAGUGCAUGUGGUGGAUGCCUUGGCGAUCACAGGCGAUGAAGGACGCGGUAGCCUGCGAAAAGCUACGGGGAGCUGGCAAACGAGCUUUGAUCCGUAGAUGUCCGAAUGGGGAAACCCACUCCUUUUGGAGUAUCCAUGGCUGAAUACAUAGGCCAUGCGAAGCGAACGCGGUGAACUGAAACAUCUAAGUAACCGCAGGAAAAGAAAUCAACCGAGAUUCCCAAAGUAGUGGCGAGCGAAAUGGGAUGAGCCUUGCACUCUUUAUUUGUAUUGUUAGCCGAACGCUCUGGAAAGUGCGGCCAUAGCAGGUGAUAGCCCUGUAGGCGAAAACAGUAUGAAAGAACUAGGUGUGCGACAAGUAGGGCGGGACACGUGAAAUCCUGUCUGAAGAUGGGGGGACCAUCCUCCAAGGCUAAAUACUCGUGAUCGACCGAUAGUGAACCAGUACCGUGAGGGAAAGGCGAAAAGAACCCCGGGAGGGGAGUGAAAUAGAUCCUGAAACCGCAUGCAUACAAACAGUCGGAGCCUCGUAAGGGGUGACGGCGUACCUUUUGUAUAAUGGGUCAGCGACUUACGUUCAGUAGCAAGCUUAACCGUAUAGGGCAGGCGUAGCGAAAGCGAGUCCGAAUAGGGCGUUCAGUUGCUGGGCGUAGACCCGAAACCAGGUGAUCUAUCCAUGGCCAGGAUGAAGGUGCGGUAACACGUACUGGAGGUCCGAACCCACUAACGUUGAAAAGUUAGGGGAUGAGCUGUGGAUAGGGGUGAAAGGCUAAACAAACCUGGAAAUAGCUGGUUCUCUCCGAAAACUAUUUAGGUAGUGCCUCGUGUCUCACCUUCGGGGGUAGAGCACUGUCAUGGUUGGGGGGUCUAUUGCAGAUUACCCCGCCAUAGCAAACUCCGAAUACCGAAGAGUGCAAUCACGGGAGACAGACAUCGGGUGCUAACGUCCGGUGUCAAGAGGGAAACAACCCAGACCGCCAGCUAAGGUCCCCAAAUAUAGCUAAGUGGGAAACGAAGUGGGAAGGCUAAAACAGUCAGGAGGUUGGCUUAGAAGCAGCCACCCUUUAAAGAAAGCGUAAUAGCUCACUGAUCGAGUCGUCCUGCGCGGAAGAUGUAACGGGGCUAAGCUAUAUACCGAAGCUGCGGAUGCGUGCUUGCACGCAUGGUAGGAGAGCGUUCCGUAAGCCUGCGAAGGUGCCUUGUAAAGGGUGCUGGAGGUAUCGGAAGUGCGAAUGCUGACAUGAGUAGCGAUAAAGGGGGUGAAAGGCCCCCUCGCCGUAAGCCCAAGGUUUCCUACGCAACGUUCAUCGGCGUAGGGUGAGUCGGCCCCUAAGGCGAGGCAGAAAUGCGUAGCUGAUGGGAAGCAGGUCAAUAUUCCUGCACCAUUGUUAGAUGCGAUGGGGGGACGGAUCGCGGAAGGUUGUCCGGGUGUUGGAAGUCCCGGUCGCUGCAUUGGAGAAGGCGCUUAGGCAAAUCCGGGCGC